UACAGAGGUCUCAAGCGUUGUUCGGAUUCAUUGGGCGUAAAGGGUGCGUAGGUGGCGCGCUAAGUCGGGUGUGAAAUUUCGGAGCUUAACUCCGAAACUGCAUUCGAUACUGGCGUGCUUGAGGACUGGAGAGGAGACUGGAAUUCAUGGUGUAGCAGUGAAAUGCGUAGAGAUCAUGAGGAAGACCAGUGGCGAAGGCGGGUCUCUGGACAGUUCCUGACACUGAGACACGAAGGCCAGGGGAGCAAACGGG
rnacentral:rRNA from 1 species